CCCUUAGAGUUUGAUCCUGGCUCAGAAUGAACGCUGGCGGCGUGCUUAACACAUGCAAGUCGUACGAGAACACUCUAGCUUGCUAGGGUAAGUAAAGUGGCGCACGGGUGAGUAACGCGUGGGUAAUCUACCUUCGAAUUGGGGAUAACGUUGCGAAAGCGACGCUAAUACCGAAUAACAUCCAUUAAUCUUCGGGUUUUUGGAUCAAGGGUGGCCUCUACAUGUAAGCUACUGUUUGAAGAUGAGCCCGCGUACCAUUAGCUUGUUGGUGGGGUAAUGGCCUACCAAGGCAGCGAUGGUUAGCUGGUCUGAGAGGAUGAUCAGCCACACUGGAACUGACACACGGUCCAGACUCCUACGGGAGGCAGCAGUGAGGAAUUUUGCGCAAUGGGGGAAACCCUGACGCAGCAACGCCGCGUGAGUGAUGAAGGCUUUCGGGUCGUAAAGCUCUGUCAAGUGGGAAGAACCUGCAGUAUGCUAAUAUCAUAUUGCACUGACGGUACCACUGAAGGAAGCACCGGCUAACUCCGUGCCAGCAGCCGCGGUAAUACGGGGGGUGCAAGCGUUAUUCGGAAUCAUUGGGCGUAAAGGGCACGUAGGCGGCCUGGUAAGUCAGAUGUGAAAGCCCGGGGCUUAACCCCGGAAGUGCAUUUGAUACUGUCAGGCUUGAGUAUGGGAGAGGGAAGUGGAAUUCCUGGUGUAGAGGUGAAAUUCGUAGAUAUCAGGAGGAACACCGGUGGCGAAGGCGACUUCCUGGACCAAUACUGACGCUGAGGUGCGAAGGCGUGGGUAGCAAACAGGAUUAGAUACCCUGGUAGUCCACGCAGUAAACGUUGUUCACUAGGUGUAGCGGGUAUUGACCCCUGCUGUGCCGCAGUUAACGCAUUAAGUGAACCGCCUGGGGGAGUACGGCCGCAAGGUUUAAAACUC
rnacentral:rRNA from 1 species